rnacentral:rRNA from 1 species
AGUGAACGCUGGCGGUAGGCCUAACACAUGCAAGUCGAACGGCAGCACAGUAAGAGCUUGCUCUUACGGGUGGCGAGUGGCGGACGGGUGAGGAAUACAUCGGAAUCUACUUUUUCGUGGGGGAUAACGUAGGGAAACUUACGCUAAUACCGCAUACGACCUACGGGUGAAAGCAGGGGAUCUUCGGACCUUGCGCGAUUGAAUGAGCCGAUGUCGGAUUAGCUAGUUGGCGGGGUAAAGGCCCACCAAGGCGACGAUCCGUAGCUGGUCUGAGAGGAUGAUGAGCCACACUGGAACUAAGAUACGGUCCAGACGCCUGCGGGAGGCAGCAGUGGGGAAUAUUGGACAAUGGGCGCAAGCCUGAUCCAGCCAUACCGCGUGGGUGAAGAAGGCCUUCGGGUUGUAAAGCCCUUUUGUUGGGAAAGAAAAGCAGCAGGUUAAUACCCCGCUGUUCCGACGGUACCCAAAGAAUAAGCACCGGCUAAGUUCGUG